AGCAGCCGCGGUAAUUCCAGCUCCAAUAGCGUAUAUUAAAGUUGUUGCAGUUAAAAGCUCGUAGUUGAAUUUCGGGAUCAAUAUGUUGGUCGUGCCUCGGUACGUACUAGCAUAUUGGUUUCUCCUUUCUGAAGAACCAUGAUGUCAUUUAUUUGGUGUCGUGGGGAAUCAGGACUGUUACUUUGAAAAAUUAGAGUGUUUAAAGCAGGCUCACGCUUGAAUACAUUAGCAUGGAAUAAUGAAAUAGGACGUUUGAUUCUAUUUUGUUGGUUUCUAGGAUCGACGCAAUGAUUAAUAGGGAUAGUUGGGGGCAUUAGUAUUCAAUUGUCAGAGGUGAAAUUCUUGGAUUUAUUGAAGACUAACUACUGCGAAAGCAUUUGCCAAGGAUGUUUUCAUUAAUCAAGAACGAAAGUUAGGGGAUCGAAGACGAUCAGAUACCGUCGUAGUCUUAACCAUAAACUAUGCCGACUAGGGAUCGGAUGAUGUUAAUUUUUAAUGACUCAUUC
rnacentral:misc_RNA from 1 species